GACGAACGCUGGCGGCGUGCUUAACACAUGCAAGUCGAACGAUGAAAGAGGAGCUUGCUCCUCUGGAUUAGUGGCGAACGGGUGAGUAACACGUGAGCAAUCUGCCCCUGACUCCGGAAUAACUACGGGAAACUGUAGCUAAUACCGGAUAUGCGCCGAACAGGCAUCUGUAUCGGUGGGAAAGAAUUUCGGUUGGGGAUGAGCUCGCGGCCUAUCAGCUUGUUGGUGAGGUAGGGGCUCACCAAGGCGACGACGGGUAGCCGGCCUGAGAGGGUGACCGGCAAAAUUGGGACUGAGAGAAGGACCGGACUCCGACGGGAGGGAGGGGGGGGGGAGGGAUGACAAGGGGAGGGGGGCUGAUGCAGCAAAGCAGCGUGAGGGAGGAAGGGAAGGGGGUUGUGAAGCAAAUGCGCCUGUGAAGGAGCGUGAAGGACGGUAACGGGUAAAGAAGCACCGGCUAACUACGUG
rnacentral:rRNA from 1 species